rnacentral:rRNA from 1 species
CAAGAGCUUGGUCCUGACUCUGCUAUCAACUUUAGCUAAACUUACACAUGCAAGUAUCCGCGCCCCUGUGAGAAUGCCCUAUAGUCCUCCUCCCGAGAACAAGGAGCUGGCAUCAGGCACAUUAUUCAGCCCAAGACGCCUUGCUUAGCCACACCCCCAAGGGAACUCAGCAGUGAUAAACAUUAAGCCAUAAGUGCAAACUUGACUUAGUUAAAGCUAAGAGGGCCGGUAAAACUCGUGCCAGCCACCGCGGUUAUACGAGAGGCCCGAGUUGAUAGGUACCGGCGUAAAGGGUGGUUAAGUCAAAAUAAAACUAAAGCCAAACGUCUCCAAGGCUGUUAUACGCAUACGGAGAUAAGAAGAACAACCACGAAAGUGGCUUUAUUUAUCCUGAACCCACGAAAGCUAAGAUACAAACUGGGAUUAGAUACCCCACUAUGCCUAGCCUUAAACACAGGUAGAGUCUUACAAUUUCUACCCGCCCGGGUACUACGAGCAUCAGCUUAAAACCCAAAGGACUUGGCGGUGCUUUAGAUCCAC